GAGCCAGUGUGCAUAGUGGUUUGAGUGUUGGGCUAUGACUCUGGAGGCCAGGGUUCAAUUCCCAACUUGGCCA
rnacentral:tRNA from 1 species